CACGUAGGGUGCGAGCGUUGUCCGGAAUUAUUGGGCGUAAAGAGCUCGUAGGCGGUGUGUCGCGUCGGCCGUGAAAACCUGCAGCUUAACUGUGGGCUUGCGGUCGAUACGGGCAUCACUGGAGUUCGGCAGGGGAGACUGGAAUUCCUGGUGUAGCGGUGAAAUGCGUAGAGAUCAGGAGGAAUACCGAUGGCGAAGGCAGGUCUCUGGGCUGAUACUGACGCUCAUGCACGAAAGCGUGGGGAGCAAACAGG
rnacentral:rRNA from 1 species